GGCGAGAUCCUUCGGGAAUCGGUGAGAAUAGACGACGGAGGCCGAAAACUACCGGCGAGAGAGAGAGAAUAGUGAGACGAUGCAAACCCAGAUCAAAUACCACGCAUGCAAAAGGAAAUCGAACCCAAAAAAAAAUUAGAUCCACAAAACAACCCGAUAAUCGAAAAAUAAAACCAGAGAAGGAACACGAACCUGCUGGAGAUUCGAUGCGCCGGUAGAGCUUUAGAUUGAACGGUGAAUCCGUCUGGUUCGCGACGCGGCGUCACUCCUCCUGUAAUCGCCUUCGACGGAGAGAGAGAGAGAGAGAAGAGGGAGACGCAGAGAAUGGGUCGAGACCGAAUGACCUCUUCUCUCUACCGCUUCGUACCUCCUAUCACCAUUCGCCACGUGCCACAAGCACC
rnacentral:lncRNA from 1 species